GACGAACGCUGGCGGCGUGCCUAAUACAUGCCAGUAGAACGCACAGUUUAUACCGUAGCUUGCUACACCAUAACCUGUGAGUUGCGAACGGGUGAGUAACGCGUAGGUAACCUGCCUGGUAGCGGGGGAUAACUAUUGGAAACGAUAGCUAAUACCGCAUAAUAUUGAUUAUUGCAUGAUAAUUGAUUUAAAGAUGCUAUUGCAUCACUACCAGAUGUUCCUGCGUUGUAUUAGCUAGUAGGUGAGGUAACGGCUCACCUAGGCGACGAUACAUAGCCGAACGGAGAGGGGGAUAGGCCACACUGGGACGGAGACACGGCCAAGACUACUAAGGGAGGCAGCAGAAGGGAAUCGUCGGCAAUGGACGAAAGUAUGACAGAGCAACGCCGCGUGAGUGAAGAAGGUUUUCGGAUCGUAAAGAUCUGUUGUAAGAGAAGAACGGGUGUGAGAGUGGAAAGUGCACACUGUGACGGUAGCUUACCAGAAAGGGACGGCUAACUACGUG
rnacentral:rRNA from 1 species